UGGGGAAUUUUGGACAAUGGGCGAAGCCUGAUCCAGCAAUGCCGCGUGUGUGAAGAAGGCCUUCGGGUUGUAAAGCACUUUUGUCCGGAAAGAAAUCCUCUGGGUUAAUACCUCGGGGGGAUGACGGUACCGGAAGAAUAAGCACCGGCUAACUACGUGCCAGCAGCCGCGGUAAUACGUAGGGUGCAAGCGUUAAUCGGGAAUUACUGGGCGUAAAGCGUGCGCAGGCGGUUUUGUAAGACGGAUGUGAAAUCCCCGGGCUUAACCUGGGAACUGCAUUCGUGACUGCAAGGCUAGAGUAUGGCAGAGGGGGGUAGAAUUCCACGUGUAGCAGUGAAAUGCGUAGAGAUGUGGAGGAAUACCGAUGGCGAAGGCAGCCCCCUGGGCCAAUACUGACGCUCAUGCACGAAAGCGUGGGGAGCAAACAGGAUUAGAUACCCCUGGGUAGUCCACGCCCUAAAACGAUGUCAACUAGUUGUUGGGGGAUUCAUUUCCUUAGUAACGUAGCUAACGCGUGAAGUUGACC
rnacentral:rRNA from 1 species